UACGAAGGGGACUAGCGUUGUUCGGAAUCACUGGGCGUAAAGGGCGUGUAGGCGGGAAGGAUAGUCAGAUGUGAAAUCCCUGGGCUCAACCCAGGAACUGCAUUUGAAACUCCCUUUCUUGAGUGUCGGAGAGGAAAGUGGAAUUCCUGGUGUAGAGGUGAAAUUCGUAGAUAUCAGGAGGAACACCGGUGGCGAAGGCGGCUUUCUGGACGACAACUGACGCUGAGACGCGAAAGCGUGGGGAGCAAACAGG
rnacentral:rRNA from 1 species